CAGUCGCCACGGGAAUACGUAGGUGGCAAGCGUUGUCCGGAAUUAUUGGGCGUAAAGCGCGCGCAGGCGGAUAGGUCAGUCUGUCUUAAAAGUUCGGGGCUUAACCCCGUGAUGGGAUGGAAACUGCCAAUCUAGAGUAUCGGAGAGGAAAGUGGAAUUCCUAGUGUAGCGGUGAAAUGCGUAGAUAUUAGGAAGAGCACCAGUGGCGAAGGCGACUUUCUGGACGAAAACUGACGCUGAGGCGCGAAAGCCAGGGGAGCGAACGGGAUUAGAUACCCGCGUAGUCCCUGUCUCUUAUACA
rnacentral:rRNA from 1 species